rnacentral:rRNA from 1 species
UUCUCCUGGAAAAAAGGGUGGUAAUGCCGGAUGCUCCGACUCCUCGCAUGGGGUGUCGGGAAAGAUUUCAUCGGUAUGGGAUGGGGUCGCGUCCUAUCAGGUAGUCGGCGGGGUAACGGCCCACCGAGCCUACGACGGGUAGCCGGCCUGAGAGGGCGACCGGCCACAUUGGGACUGAGAUACGGCCCAGACUCCUACGGGAGGCAGCAGUGGGGAAUAUUGCACAAUGGGCGCAAGCCUGAUGCAGCGACGCCGCGUGCGGGAUGACGGCCUUCGGGUUGUAAACCGCUUUUGAUCGGGAGCAAGCCUUCGGGUGAGUGUACCUUUCGAAUAAGCACCGGCUAACUACGUGCCAGCAGCCGCGGUAAUACGUAGGGUGCAAGCGUUAUCCGGAAUUAUUGGGCGUAAAGGGCUCGUAGGCGGUUCGUCGCGUCCGGUGUGAAAGUCCAUCGCUUAACGGUGGAUCUGCGCCGGGUACGGGCGGGCUGGAGUGCGGUAGGGGAGACUGGAAUUCCCGGUGUAACGGUGGAAUGUGUAGAUAUCGGAA